rnacentral:rRNA from 1 species
UACAGAGGUCUCAAGCGUUGUUCGGAUUCAUUGGGCGUAAAGGGUGCGUAGGCGGCGCGGUAAGUCGGGUGUGAAAUCUCGGAGCUUAACUCCGAAACUGCAUUCGAUACUGCCGUGCUUGAGGACUGGAGAGGAGACUGGAAUUUACGGUGUAGCGGUGAAAUGCGUAGAUAUCGUAAGGAAGACCAGUGGCGAAGGCGGUUCUCUGGGCCUUACCUGACACUGAGGAGCGAAAGCGUGGGGAGCGAACAGG